GACGUGCGCGCACUGCGCAUGUGCGGAGGCAGUUCUUGCUGGGGGCGAGCUGGGGACUUUGAGUUGGGGCGGAAUCAGCCUGAGAACCUGGCUCCAGCCGACCCCCACUCCGCCGCUACCUAGGGAGGCUGACAUUUUCUUUAACCUCGUAGACUACAAGUAUGCUGGCAUCUCUCCCAAAUGAAAGGCAAGACAGAGAACGCCACUCCACCCCACACCUUCCAGCCACCGCAACAUUUCUCUUGCACUUCAUAGGUAAGCUACUGGAAAAGGCGUCUGUUACCUCCAGCGCUCUGGAACUUCUCCAGUUAGAGGUUUCUCCUGAAAACACGACCGCUGGAAACACAACCUAAGGCACUUCAGUGUGAACUCAAACGUUUGUGAAAUGAAUAUCUGCAAGAGUUCUUGUUAGGAGGGAGGCAGUAUUAGGCAGCUCAGGAGUGGAUUUGGGAUGCCUCUAGGGUGUAUCCUCUCUCCUGAGAUCAGGGACGACACACCCGUAAUACAGUUUGUUUGGCUUAGUAGGUGUUCAAUAAAUGUCAGCUGUUACUUUUUUUUUUUUUUGCGAGGCCUUGCAGGAUUUUAGUUCCCUGGCCAUGGAUCGAACCUGGACCCUGGCAGUGAAAGCACUGAAUCCUAACUACUGGGCUGCUAGAGAAUUCCCUCCUUAGCUGUUAUCUUAGUCAGAAUAUCUUAUUAACAGGAUGCUUUUUUCAGUCUCCCCAUCCCCUCCCCAGCCAUUUGUGUACCUCAGGUACACAGGUACCAUGGCAGAACAAAAGCUAGCCUAUUUCUUUAAAAAAAACCCAAUAUAUUUUGGUUUGUUUUAUUUUUGGCUGUCCUGGGUCUUCACUGCUGCACACAAACUUCCUCUAGUUGCUGCGAGUGGGGGCUACUCCCUAGUUACAGUUCAUGGGCUUCUCAUUGUGGUGGCUUCUCUUGUUGCUGAGCAUGGGCUCUAGAGUGCAUGGACUCAGUUGCCCUGUGGCAUGGGGGAUCUUAGUUCUCUGACUAGGGAUUGAACCAGCGUCCUCUUCAUUGGGAGGCGUAUGGUUCAACCUAGGCUGUGCUGAGGUGCUUUACAUGGAUUUGCACCCCUCAAAACAACCUGAUGGGGUAGACUCACAUUUUCAGUGGAGGAAGCAAACACAGAAAAUAAGGAGCUUUUCCGAAGUCACACUGGUAGGAUGAGACAGAGUUGAGAUUUGAAACUAGUUAAUUUGUUACCUAGUGGGCACAAUAAAGGACAGAAACAGCAGAGACCUAGUAGAUGCUGAAGAGAUCAAGAAGAGAUGGAAAGAAUACACUGAAAAACUGUACAAAAAAGAUCUUAAUGAACUGGAUUACUACGAUCAUGUGGUCAGUCACCCAGAGUGAACAUUCUGGAGAGUGAAGUCAGGUGGGCCUUAGGAAGCCCUGCUGUUAAUAAAGCUAGUAGAUGUGAUGGAAUUCCAGUAGAGCUAUUCAGAUCCCUAAAGAAUGAUGCUGUCAAAGUUUUGCAUUCAUUAUGCCAGCAAAUCUGGAAGACCCAGCAGUUGCCAUAGGACUGGAAAAGGUCAAACCUCAUCUCAAUUCCCAAGAAGGGUAGUACUAAAGAAUGUGCUAAUCAUCAGACAAUUGCACUCAUCUCCUAUGCUAGUAAGAUCAUGCUUAAAAUCUUGCAUGUUAGGCUUUAGCAUUAUGUGAACCAAGAAUUUCCGGAUGUCCAAGCUGGGUUUAGAAAAGGAAGAGGAACCAGAUAUCAAAUUGCCAACAUUCGCUGGAUCAUAGAGAAAGCUAGGGAAUUCCAGAAAAACAUCUACCUCUGUUUCAUCAGGGGCACUUUCCUUCUAAUGUCUAUGUUAGAAGAUUUCUCUGUCCCUUUUUAUACUUAAGUAAAACUCUGCUACACAAAAGUUCUUGAGUGAUCAAGGUUGGUCCCUGGUCCCGAAGCUAAAUCUUCAGAGAUCACAAAUCCAAUACUGUUCACCGUAAGCUAUCAUCUUACGGGCUUGCCCAGGAUCUUCAGGAUAAGGUAAGAACCCUCAGAGCUCUAGCCUCUCUGCUUUCCCAGUACACACGUUUUCUCAUUUACUAACUCUACAGUGUGCUUGUAUGAAUGAAUGACACACCCUGCGCAAAGCAAGUGAUGAGCCCUGCUCUGCGGUUUCAUGGUGCCUCAUAAUGACUGAAGGCAGCCCCCAAAAGGGGAGCAUUGUAGGGGGUUUAUGCUGACCUGCCAGUGUCAAGAGACACCCAGCGUCCUUGCAAGGGAGGCGGCCAGAAAUGGGCAAAGCAUGUGGACCAAACUUUCUUUUCUGGGUCAGCUUUUCCUGUUCUCUUUGGCUGUUUCAUAACUGAGUGGGGAAUUAGAACUACUAACCUAAUCUGUUGGAUCGC
ensembl:lncRNA